rnacentral:rRNA from 1 species
UCGAAAUCUUAGGAAAGUAGCGAAGCACAUGAUGACGGCUUCCAGGAAAAGCUUCUGGCAAUGCAUAUGCGGCCCGUACCAAAACCGACACAGGUGGGCAGGGAGAGAAUCCCGAGGUGAGCGAGAGAACUGUUGCCAAGGAACUCGGCAAAAUGACUCCGUAAGUUAGCGAGAAGGAGUGCUUAAGCAAUUAAGCCGCAGUGAAGAGGCCCAAGCGACUGUUUAACUAAAACACAGCUCUCUGCGAAGUCGCAAGACGAAGUAUAGGGGGUGACACCUGCCCGGUGCUGGAAGGUUAAGAGGAUCUGUUAAGAGCGAUCUGAAGCAGUGAUCCGAAGCCCCAGUGAACGGCGGCCGUAACGAUAACGGUCCUAAGGUAGCGAAAUUCCUUGUCAGGUAAGUUCUGACCCGCACGAAAGGUGUAACGAUUUGGGCGCUGUCUCGGCAGCAGACUCGGUGAAAUCUUAGUACCUGUGAAAAUGCAGGUUACCCGCAACUAGACGGAAAGACCCCAUGGAGCUUUACUGCAGCCUGAUAUUGAAUUCUGGUCAUACAUGUACAGGAUAGGUGGGAGACAAAGAGACGUGCACGCCAGUGUACGAGGAGUCGACGUUGGGAUACCACUCUUGUGUGACUGGGGUUCUAACCUGGUAUCGAGAACAGGUACGGGGAGAGUGUCAGGUGGGCAGUUUGACUGGGGCGGUCGCCUCCCAAAGAGUAACGGAGGCGCCCAAAGGUACGCUCAGAUUGGAUGGAAACCAAUCGUCGAGUGCAAUUGCGGAAGCGUGCUUGACUGUGAGACGGACAAGUCGAACAGGGACGAAAGUCGGGAAUAGUGAUCCGGCGGUGCCGAAUGGAAGGGCCGUCGCUCAACGGAUAAAAGCUACCCUGGGGAUAACAGGCUGAUCUCGCCCAAGAGUUCACAUCGACGGCGAGGUUUGGCACCUCGAUGUCGGCUCAUCGCAUCCUGGAGCUGGAUUCGGUUCCAAGGGUUGGGCUGUCCGCCCAUUAAAGCGGUACGCGAGCUGGGUUCAGAACGUCGUGAGACAGUUCGGUCCCUAUCUGUUGUGGGCGAAGGAGAUCUGCGGAGAGCUGUCCUCAGUACGAGAGGACCGGGAUGGACCUACCGCUGGUGCACCGGUUGUUCCGCCAGGGGCAUAGCCGGGUAGCUAAGUAGGGAAAGGAUAAGCGCUGAAAGCAUCUAAGCACGAAGCCUACUCCAAGAUGAGAUCUCCCAUUCGCAAGAAGUAAGACCCCUUAGAGACGAUAAGGUAGAUAGGCCAGGGAUGGAAGUGCAGUGAUGUACGGAGUUGACUGGUACUAAUCGGUCGAGGACUUAAUU